rnacentral:rRNA from 1 species
CCUACGGGAGGCAGCAGUAGGGAAUAUUGCUCAAUGGGGGAAACCCUGAAGCAGCAACGCCGCGUGGAGGAUGAAGGUUUUCGGAUUGUAAACUCCUUUUGUCAGAGAAGAUAAUGACGGUAUCUAACGAAUAAGCACCGGCUAACUCCGUGCCAGCAGCCGCGGUAAUACGGAGGGUGCAAGCGUUACUCGGGAUCACUGGGCGUAAAGAGCGCGUAGGCGGGAUAGCAAGUCAGAUGUGAAAUCCUAUGGCUUAACCAUAGAACCGCAUAUGAAACUGUUAUUCUAGAGUAUGGGAGAGGUAAGUGGAAUUAUAGGUGUAGGGGUAAAAUGCGUAGAGAUCAAGAGGAAUACUCAUUGCGAAGGCGACCUGCUGGAACAUAACUGACGCUGAUGCGCGAAAGCGUGGGGAGCAAACAGGAUUAGAUACCCUUGUAGUC